UUAAAGGGAAAAACCUUUCCUGGGUUUGACAUCCUCGGGAACCCCGUGGAAAAAGGGGUUCCCCUUGUGGGCAGGAUCACAGGUGGCGCAUGGCUGUUGUCAUCUGGUGUUGUGAGAUUUGGGUUUAAGUCCCGCAGAGAGCGCAACCCCUUUCGCAUUUCCCCAGCAUUAUGUUGGGGACUCAUGGGAGACUGCCGGUGACAAAUCGGAGGAAGGUGGGGAUGACGUCAAGUCAUCAUGCCCCUUAUGUCCAGGGCUACACACGUGCUACAAUGGCCGGUACAAAGGGGUGCGAUACCGCGAGGUGGAGCGAAUCCCAAAAAACCGGUCUCGGUUCGGAAUGGAGGCUGAAACUUGCCUCCCUGAAGGCCGAGUCGGGUUAAUCCCCACG
rnacentral:rRNA from 1 species